UACAGAGGGGUGCGAGCGUUGUCCGGAAUCACUGGGCGUAAAGGGCGCGUAGGCGGCUUUUCAAGCGUGCGGUGAAAGCUCGGGGCUUAACUCCGAGUCUGCCGUGCGAACUGGGAGGCUUGAGUCUGGUAGAGGUCGAUGGAAUUCCGGGUGUAGCGGUGGAAUGCGUAGAGAUCCGGAAGAACACCGGUGGCGAAGGCGGUCGACUGGGCCGAGUACUGACGCUGAGGCGCGACAGCGUGGGAGGCAA
rnacentral:rRNA from 1 species